AUUGCCAAAGCAAGUGAAAUAGAUAAACAAAAGUGAAAUAAACAAUCGAAAUAAAAUGAACAUAAAAAAAUUACACUCACAAAGGUUCCAAACAAAUAAAUACAAUGUAAAGUGUCAUAUUAUGUCUAUAUACAGUGUUGUAAUGAUGUGCAUAUAGUUAAAGUACACCUCUCCCACUUCCCCUAUUCCCCACUCUCUCAAAGGAUACUAAGGUGUCUUCUCUCCUCCCUCCCACUUCCCCAUUCCCCACUCUCUCAAAGGAUACUAAGGUGUCUUCUCUCCUCUCUCCCACUUCCCCUAUUCCCCACUCUCUCAAAGGAUACUAAGGUGUCUUCUCUCCUCUCUCCCACUUCCCCUAUUCCCCACUCUCUCAAAGGAUACUAAGGUGUCUUCUCUCCUCUCUCCCACUUCCCCUAUUCCCCACUCUCUCAAAGGAUACUAAGGUGUCUUCUCUCCUCUCUCCCACUUCCCCUAUUCCCCACUCUCUCAAAGGAUACUAAGGUGUCUUCUCUCCUCUCUCCCACUUCCCCUAUUCCCCACUCUCUCAAAGGAUACUAAGGUGUCUUCUCUCCUCUCUCCCACUUCCCCUAUUCCCCACUCUCUCAAAGGAUACUAAGGUGUCUUCUCUCCUCUCUCCCACUUCCCCUAUUCCCCACUCUCUCAAAGGAUACUAAGGUGUCUUCUCUCCUCUCUCCCACUUCCCCUAUUCCCCACUCUCUCAAAGGAUACUAAGGUGUCUUCUCUCCUCUCUCCCACUUCCCCUAUUCCCCACUCUCUCAAAGGAUAUUAAGGUAUCUUCUCUCCUCUCUCCCACUUCCCCUAAUAGCUAGCUAAGUCAACCAGUGGAAAGGGGAGACCUUGUUAACUCAGAUGAUGUUGAUUAGGACGUGUGGUGAGUUCAAGCCGGGCAGGGCAGCAUGGAACUCAAUUCAUCCCAGAUGGAGCCUUCUCCUCCCUGUUUAAGACUUUAUAAGGAACACAUGUCGGCUAAGGUGUGCCUUUUUUAAGGCCUUGAAAUGAGGGCUCGGCCUCGGCCCAUUUGGGAUGGUUGUUGAAAGAGUUGUAAAGUGAAUCAGAUAUCGCAAAGGCAUAAGAAAAGGGAGCUUUUGGAUUUGGCUCGGGCUUGGUUUUUGGGUUAGGUUUUCUCCUAUGAAAUGAGAAUUUGGAAAAACGACAUCCAUUUAUGACACAAUAACAAAGCUUGGCCCAAUACAGUUUUAUAUUAAAUGUGUAUUUGCUCGUCUUAUUUCAAACAUCCUCAGAGAGGCACAAACCCGCGUAAACUUCAACUUCAUAAUGUUACACUCGUCAUUACAUGCUAGUAUACGACAGUCAUUAUCAGAUGUCAUUUUGGGAUGUCCACUGAUUAACCAAGCAUCUCUUCCUGUGGGAGUCGAUAUGUGGUAAAGCUAAAAGCAGAUCCAUGUUUGGAACUGUUACACCUUCUGGCAUGUUCAGCUUGGCUAACUAGCUAACACUGCUAAAGUUGCUUGCAACAAUGGCCGACACCACAGAGCUCUGUGAGCUUCCAACCAGUAAGCUCAGUUGGGAUAACUAGCCAACAUAGCUAAUGUUGCCACUUGUCACAAUGAUAACUGUACAAUCAAGGAAACAGAGACUCAGGACGACUGUUGCACUUUUACCAGCAUGUUGAGUUUGGUUAACUAGCCAACAUGGCUAAUGUUGCCACAUGCCACAAUGUUGUAUGACAUGAGUCCAUUAAACUGUUGCACCUAACAGCAUUCCCUCACUUUAGCUAACUAUGCUAGCCAAUGUUAAGCUGCAUAAU